rnacentral:tRNA from 1 species
GAGGCUUAGCUCAGUUGGUCAGAGCACUUGCCUUACAAGCAAGGGGUCACCGGUUCAAGUCCAGUAGUCUCC